rnacentral:rRNA from 1 species
AUCUAUGUGUCUUGACCAAAUUACGUGCCAGCUGUCGCGGUAAGACGUAGGAGACUAGUGUUAUUCAUCUUUAAUAGGUUUAAAGCGUACCUAGACGGUAAUUAAAGCCUACAUCAGGUACUUGUUUACUAGAGUUAAAUGUAAGGGUGUAUUAAAGUACUGUUGAGUGUAGAGAUGAAAUUCGUUGAUACCAAAUAAUUGGCACAGGUAUAGGCGAAAGCAUCACUUUAUGUAAUAACUGACGUUGACGGACGAAGGCUUUGUGUCGCGAACAGGAUUAGAUACCCCAGUAGUCUUAGCAGAAAAUUAUGAGUGUCAUAGGUUAGAUUAUAUCUGGUCUAUAAAUGAAAGUGUAAGCACUCCACCUCAAGAGUAAUUUGGCAACAUUGGAACUGAAAUCAUUAGACCGUUUCUGAAACCAGUAGUGAAGUAUGUUGUUUAAUUUGAUGAUCCGCAAAGAACCUUACCACAAUUUGAAUAUAAAUGAUCUAUUUUUACAAGCGUUGCACGGCUGUCUUCAGUUAAUGUCGUGAGAUAUUGGUUUAUUCCAUUAAAUUAACGUAAACCCGUACUUUAUUUUUAUAUAAAGUUUUUCAUUCGCUAUAAUGGAUGUGAUAACAGGGACUAAGACAAGUCAUCAUGGCCUAAAUAUUGUGGGCUAUAGAC